CAGCAGCCGCGGUAAUACGUAGGUCCCGAGCGUUGUCCGGAUUUAUUGGGCGUAAAGCGAGCGCAGGCGGUUAGAUAAGUCUGAAGUUAAAGGCUGUGGCUUAACCAUAGUACGCUUUGGAAACUGUUUAACUUGAGUGCAAGAGGGGAGAGUGGAAUUCCAUGUGUAGCGGUGAAAUGCGUAGAUAUAUGGAGGAACACUGGUGGCGAAAGCGGCUCUCUGGCUUGUAACUGACGCUGAGGCUCGAAAGCGUGGGGAGCAAACAGGAUUAGAUACCCCGGUAGUCCCUGUCUCUUAUACA
rnacentral:rRNA from 1 species